rnacentral:lncRNA from 1 species
CGCGUCCUUCCUGAUAUUCUUCAUCUAGAAUUUUUUAUUUCUCUAUUAGCUCAGUUCUCCAACUAGCCUUCUUUCACUUUUUUACUUUGUCCAGUGGUCUAUCAUUUGAGCUUCUAUCUUUUUCUUAUUUUUGUUAUACCAAUGCGGUAUCCCAGUGGUUAAACCCAUAGUUGAAGACAGAGAUGAGUAAACGAGGUAUGUGCCAAUAACUUUAUUUCUUUUCAGUUCUUUAGACUACUACAAAGGGAAUUGUUCAAGCAUUUGGACUACUUCUCUUGUUAAAUAAAUAUAAAAUAGAAGAUCGAAAUUCGACUCAAGGUGGUGGAAUUGGUGACAGAUUGUACUCUUGAUAUAGGUGGUUUAAUGAAUUGAGAUGAAAUCAGAUUUCGAAUGCAACUGUGUUUCACAAUUUGGGAUAAAGUUGUGUGCUACUGUAAUAUCUGUGCCGAUCGAAGAAAACGCUCACAUGAUUCUUGCCGGAUAGAGCACUCUUGGAGCUUUCAAACUUCUGAAUUGGAAUAUUGAGGUAUAACCCCUUAAAUUGCUAUUUUUAAAUUGUUUCUGUAUUUUCAUUUAUUUUCUUUAUUUAUUAUAAUAAUUAGUUAAAGAUUGAUUCUCUGCUAAUUUUGAGGUGUAACCCCUUUGAAAUUUUGAUUUCUUUUGAGGUAUAUAACUGGUGAAAUUUUUGAUAAUCGCUGAUUGAAAUUUUGAUGUAUAACCCCCUUUUCUAGAUUUGUCUACAUUGCCCGACUGCUUUGCGCAUUGGUUCCUCAUCUAUGCUCUUAUAGUCUCGUUCUUUCCCUGACCGAGUUUUUUCUUUUCCAUUAUUUCUCUUUUAUUUUAUCUUCAAAACCUCCUCUUGAAUGAGGGUUGAAAUUGAUUCGUUGAUCCGAAAUGACAACUUUUUACUUUACUUCCUUUAUUUGUUAUUUCAACUAUUAAAACAUUUUAUAAUGUGCUUUCGUUGUCAAUAUAAUCGAUGUGGAGUAUGGGAAUUUAACAUCAUAAAGGUGAUAACUUGGUAAUUAG